CUUCAAAAAAUUCAUCUUUUUAUACUGUUAAAAAUUAGCGUGACUAAUAGAAUAAUAGGACACUGACACGUGACUUGCCAUAUGUACCUCAUGUUGAUGUACAUGGACCAGUUUUUAAUAUUAAAAAUGAAUGAAAAUUUUAACA
rfam:Gossypium arboreum cultivar AKA8401 contig_34516_3, whole genome shotgun sequence.